AAGCUCGUAGUUGAAUUUCGGGAUUAAUUUAUUGGUCGUGCAAUAGUACGUACUGGUAUUAUUGAUUCCUACCUUCUGACGAACCAUGAUGUCAUUAAUUUGGCGUCAUGGGGAAUCAGGACUGUUACUUUGAAAAAAUUAGAGUGUUUAAAGCAGGCUCACGCUUGAAUACAUUAGCAUGGAAUAACGAAAUAGGACGUUUGAUUCUAUUUUGUUGGUUUCUAGGAUCGACGUAAUGAUUAAUAGGGAUAGUUGGG
rnacentral:rRNA from 1 species